UACUGUCAUCAUAAUUUUCGUCAAAGUUCAAGAUGGCUGAUAACAACUACUUAUUAGCCGUAGCAGUUGCAUGUACCACAAUUGCACUGUGUGCGCAUGCGGAAGAGAGGCGGGGGAAAUAAAGGAAACGCACCUGGGUGAAGCUGUGGGUUUUACGACGACACGAUAAAAGCAUUCAACAAAACUAGUUAGUGAGCUUAUAGUGGAGGACGUGAAGUCAUACAUAAAUUACUUAUAAUGGAUGAGCAUAUAUUUCUGUAUGUGCUCAACGAAGUGUAUCCUCAUAUCACAAAGCACAAUAUUCACUUAAGAACUGCUACAUCUGCAGGAGACAGUCCAAAGGAUUGCCAAACAAAGUUCUACAACAUGAGGAACAUGUACAAUGUUCAGAAUAGAAAAAGGAAAGAGAGUAUGAGAAGCGGAGUUGGAACAGAUAAUGUAUUCACCGUUCAUGUAGUGGAUUAUUAAUAACUUGGUGUAUACGACAGCUUUAUGGUACUUUCAUAGGUUAGAAUGUCUGGAAGAACACUACAUCCCUCGCAAUUGCGUGGCAACACCAUUAUCGUCGUCAUCCUCACCAUCAACUGAACACAGUUAUAGUUUUCAGGUGGAUGAAAGCUCAGUCGAUAAUAACGCUGUGCGAGCUCCCACACAUGAUGUGAUGGUGGAGAAUGAUAGACUUCAGUGAAGAAACUGAAGUAAUAGCUGAAGUACUUUCGCCAGCAACUACAUUGAGUAUAGGACAGAGUGGUGCAGCAAGUAAUUCUACACAAAAAAGAAGGAAAUGGAGUGAGGAAGAGAGCUAUUCAAAUGCUCUUCAAUUAAUAGCUGAAAGAUUACAGACUAAUAGUAAUGAUGAUGUUGACACAUUUGUGAAAUAUUUGGCCACUGAGAUGAAGGCCAUUAGAAGUUACGAAACAAGAAUGUUAGUUAAACAACAAAUUCUCCAACUCUUGUAUCAGGCUGUUCUCAAUCAAUAAAUGGUGUGUGAAUUCCA